AUUACCGCGGCUGCUGGCACGUAGUUAGCCGGGGCUUCUUAGUCAGGUACAGUCACUAUCUUCUUCCCUGCUGAUAGAAGUUUACGAUCCGAAGACCUUCUUCCUUCACGCGGCGUCGCUGCAUCAGGGUUUCCCCCAUUGCGCAAUAUUCCCCACUGCUGCCUCCCGUG
rnacentral:rRNA from 1 species